AACGAACGCUGGCGGCAUGCUUAACACAUGCAAGUCGAACGAAAACUUCCUGCCUUGUGGCGCACGUGUGCUUGCGGCCUGGUAACUUGCCCUUGGGUUACGAAUAACUCCCCGUAAGGGGUGCUCAUACCGGUUAAUGUCUUCGCACCAAAGAUUUAUCGCCUUUGGAUGGGCCCGCGUUAGAUUCGCUAGUUGGUAGUGUAAUAGCCUACCAAGGCGACGAUCCUUAGCUGGUCGGUGAGGAUGAUACGCCACGCUUGGACUGAGGCACGGCCCAGACUGCGACGGGAGGGAGGAGAGGAGAACAUAGGGCAAGGAGCGAAAGCCUGAUCCAGCAGUGCGGCGGAAGAGAGGAAGGGGUUAGGGUUGUAAAGCUGUUUUACCCGGGAUGAGAAUGACAGUACCGGGAGAAGAAGCUCCGGCUAACUCCGUG
rnacentral:rRNA from 1 species